rnacentral:rRNA from 1 species
GAUUCCCCGUUACCCGUCGUUACCGCGGCGGGUACGAGUACCCCGCCGCGGUAACGACGGGUAACGGGGAAUCAGGGUUCGAUUCCGGAGAGGGAGCCCGAGAAACGGCUACCACUUCCAAGGAAGGCAGCAGGCGCGCAACUUACCCUAAUCUCGAUUCGAGGAGGUAGUGACAAGAAAUACCGAUGCGGGGACCCUACGGGGUGCCGCGUUCGGAAUGAGUACGAUUCGAACCACCUAACGAGGAACGAUCGGAGGGCAAGUCUGGUGCCAGCAGCCGCGGUAAUUCCAGCUCCAAUAGCGUACGUUAAAGUUGCUGCAGUUAAAAAGCUCGUAGUUGAACGUUCGGGUUCCGCGGGACGGGGCCGCCCCGCGAGGGACGGCGCCGCCCCGGGGCUCGUGAUAUCUCAUCUCGCCGCCCGUCGCGAGGCGGACGGAGGGAUGGAUGAGGUUACCUGGAAAAAAUCGGGGC